GCCCGCCGCGUAGUCCCUCGAUGAGCGUUUCGAUGUCACUGGUACAGGGUGGUGCUGCCGGUGGUGCGCCACAAGGCGCCAGCGCAAUCUUGGCCGCCGCGGCUCCCUACUAUCAGCCGCCAGCCGUGCCCCAGGACGUCCAGCCGGACCGUCCCAUCGGCUAUGGAGCAUUCGGAGUUGUCUGGGCUGUCACAGAUCCUCGGGAUGGACGCCGCGUGGCUCUGAAGAAGCUGCCCAAUGUGUUCCAAUCGUUGGUCUCAUCGAAACGCGUUUUCCGCGAGCUGAAAAUGCUCUGCUUCUUCAAGCACGAGAAUGUUCUCUCGGCCCUGGACAUUCUACAGCCACCGCAUUUGGAUUUCUUUCAAGAAAUCUAUGUGAUAACGGAGCUGCUGCAAUCGGAUCUGCACAAGAUAAUCGUGUCGCCGCAGCACCUGUCCGCCGACCACAUCAAGGUGUUCCUUUACCAGAUCCUGCGUGGCCUCAAGUAUCUGCACUCGGCCCGCAUCCUGCAUCGCGACAUCAAGCCGGGCAACCUGCUGGUCAACUCGAAUUGCGUGCUCAAGAUCUGUGAUUUCGGACUGGCCCGCGUUGAGGAGCCGGAUCAGGCCAAGCACAUGACCCAGGAGGUGGUCACCCAGUACUACCGGGCCCCGGAGAUUCUGAUGGGCGCCCGUCACUACUCGUCGGCGGUGGAUGUGUGGUCGGUGGGCUGCAUUUUCGGCGAGCUCCUCGGCCGCCGCAUCCUCUUCCAGGCGCAGAAUCCCGUGCAGCAGCUGGAGCUGAUCACCGAGCUGCUGGGCACACCGACCAUGGAGGACAUGCGGCACGCCUGCGAGGGCGCCCGCACCCACAUGCUGCGCCGGGCGCCCAAGCCGCCCUCCUUCUCGGUGCUCUACACACUCAGCUCGCAUGCCACGCACGAGGCGGUGCACCUGCUCUGCCAGAUGCUCGUCUUCGAUCCGGACAAGCGCAUUUCUGUGACAGAUGCCCUGGCGCAUCCGUAUCUGGACGAGGGUCGCCUGCGCUACCAUUCGUGCAUGUGCAAAUGCUGCUUCACUACCUCGGCCGGAAUGCGACAAUACACGGCUGACUUCGAGCCCUCCGCCGGCCAGCCCUUCGAUGAUCUGUGGGAACGCAAGCUCACAUCGGUGCAACAGGUCAAGGAGGAGAUGCACAAGUUCAUAGCCGAGCAGCUGCAAACGGGUCGUGUGCCGCUCUGCAUCAAUCCGCAGAGUGCGGCCUUCAAGAGUUUCGCCAGCCAAUGAGAAUGAGAAAAUCUACUACUACUACCACUACCACUACUACCACUACAACUUGCACUGCUGCUCCUGCCGCUGCUCCAAUCCGCCGCCGCCUACUGUUGCGCUGACCUAUGCCCUCGAGAACCGAUCCAUAUCCAGACCCGGAUCGAGAUCGUUAUCCAGAUCAAGAUACUAGGCGCGCGAGAUCUCCUCUCACUAGAACGAAUCGAUUUACGAUAUAAGAACGCAGAAGUCACAAGAUACUAUCCGAAAUCUACCGAAUGAUUGAUGAAUGAAAAUGAUAUAAUGAAAAUGACUAUGAAAAUGCAAGCACAGCCAAGAUAAAGAUACAAUAAUACAGAUACAGAUACAGAAAAUGAGGCCUCGGGGCGGCAACUGUCUCUACUCCUUCUUAGUUCGACCGUGGCACAUCCUUCGGAGCUGCCGCCCUCGCCUCAUCAAUGGGAAUGACGGCAAAAUGAGGCGAUUGCUGCCUAAAAUCGAAACAAAAGCAACACAGCCAAACGAUAGACCCUCGCCGUCGACGAAAAGGAGGAGAUGAGUCGACCCCCAGUCCAAAUAGAACCCUCAAGAACCCUCGAAAACCCAUCCCAACCCAGAGACAACUCAGCCAGGAACAACGAUUGAAUAAUAUUUAAGCGCCAAACGGCUUUUAAGUGGGCGUUUGUCUGUUUGAAAGUCAAAGCAUUCCACCACCGAAAUUAACUAAAAACGAAACAAACAAAUAUUUAAUAAUACUAUAGACAAACAAAUAUUGUAACGUAACUCAACUGAAACUAGUCUAAACAACAAAACUGUAGUUAAAGCAGCAGCAGCGACACAAAACCAGCAAGUUUAAAGUGAAGGAAAAAUAUUACAAAAAUUAAUGUGAGAGCGGGAGAGAAGGAUGUUCUACGCACUAAAAACAAAGCGUAGCUAAAAAAUAAUCUUAGUUUUUUGGCAACAAAGCAGACGCAUUUUGUUGUGCUUGACGCGAAUUUGAAGAAUUAUUCGAAAAUUCAAAUUAAAUGCAAAUGCAUAUGCAAAACAACACUAAAAUGUUUUAUGUUAAGCUCCUAAGAAAUCUAUGUAUAUGUAAAUUAAUUAGCAACACCCACACACAGACAUCGUAUUCAUUAUAAACAAAUAUGCUUAAAUCUUAAAUAUAUCGAUAUAUAUAUUUAAAAUAAAAUAGUAACAAAAUGCACACAAAUCCAAAUUUGUUUGCCAAAAUUUACCUCAAGCGAUAAACCUUUUCAUCCACUAAAAGGAUAAUUUCAUUUUCUGUAUGCUUACGACAAAUAUAUACAAAACAAAAUGAUGUGUAGCUACAGCUAAAUGUGUACUAAGCGCUAAACAAAAACAAACUUAUUUGAAAUUAUGCAAAUAUUUUCAUUUACACAAAACGUUUGAAGCUUCAAUUUUGAAACUGGUUUCUAGAUAUGUACUCUUAAUGCAUCUGACCACAAAGAGCGGUCAGCCCUAACUCAAUAUUAGGAAAACGAAAAAGAUAAAUAUUUGAUGAAAUUAGUUCAAAGUUUCAACUGUCGACUGAACAAAAAUUACAAUAUAAAUUAAUAUAAAAUAAAUUAAACGAUUUCAACUUAAUUUAAUUAUGACAAUUUUCGCUUUGAUAAUAGUUUGUUAAGCUUUUUAAACAUACUUUUCGUAAAUGUAAACUAAUCAAUAAACAAAGGAAAAACCAACAAGUGGACGACGCACUGCCCCCAGUGAAUGGUUCGGGCGGAUCAAACCCAAGUGGACGGACAGGUAGACCUCUGUGGUCAUCUUUGAAGUCCAAGGGCACCGCCCGGACCAAUUCGAUUUUAGUUGAUAUGUAUAUUUUGCUUUUAGUUGAUUACCAUGUAAUAUAGUUUAAUUUUCGACUAACUACACCUGUGUCUCUCUCAAUGCUCAUCGCUUUAGGCUAUGUGUAGCUAAGGUGCAGGACAGGAUCGGUUAUAGAGGAUCAAUUGCUAAGGCCUCGGCUGCCCAGAACAUUAUAUAUGUUUAAGACUGAGUUUUCUCAUUUGACGACGAUUGAAUGAUUGAAGAUAUGCAAUAUAAAAUUCACACAAUUCUUUUACUCGAAAAGGGUCAAAAUUAAUUUGAUGUAGCCUAAGCACUUAACGAAAUUAAAUAUGUAUACCGUAUAUGUGUAUUUUGAAUGUCUUUUGUCUUCAAUGUUUAGAGCCAAAACAAAGCAUGAAAAUAUUUAAUCGACAAAAAAACGACGAUGACGAAGUAGAAGAAGCUCUCGAAGAAGUUAAAACUGAAGCUAAUCUAGACUUUCCUCUUCUUCAAUUCUCUUAACUGUGCUGCUUUCUUAUGUAUGUAGUUAUUAAUUAUAUAGCAUUAUAUAUAUUAACCGAUAUAUAUACAUGUAUGGAUUAGCGUAAAAACAAACGAAACAAAACAAAAAACAAAUAUGAAUUCAAAACUUUCACGGAGAUCUCAUAGCAAAAACAAAACGAAAUGAAAGAAAAGAAAGGCAAAGGAAAUGGGUGUGCAAAAAGUAGAAUUUCUUUUCACCUUUUGUUUAUAACUAAAGUUUUUCUUAACCGUAAAUAUAUAGAGUACCGACUAGAGAUUACCGACUACCGACAUCCGACAUCCGAUUCCCCUCAUUUGACCAGAGACCGACGCAGAGACACACUCACUCGAAUGCAAGUUAAAUUGACAACUACUCGAACAUCAUUAUAUGUCUAGGCACUUACUCCACAUAGAGGUACAUAUAUACACAUAGCUACGCGUACGGAUAGUUAGUUUUCGGUUCGGUUUAGGCACCGUGUACAUAGCAUUAUCUCCACACACCCCCACCAAUAAUUAGCCCACAUCUCUCUCUAGCUCAGUAAGAUGGUUAGCUAUGCGGUAAUACGAGUACGAGUACGAUAAGAAAAGGACAUGUACAUUACACCACACACAUAGCUCGACCCCCGAUUGGGGCAGGUCUGAACUAAAGUAUAAUAGAGUACCACAGAUCACACUCGAUAUAUGGUAUAUGCCUAUUUGGGAUGUACGAAUUAAAUGAAGAUGAAACCUCCCGUUCGAAAUGAGUUCAUAAGUUAAGAUCAACUGUAACUGUAAACUGCAUUAGUAUUUGACUUGUAAACCGAUUUACGGAUCAUUCUUAACUAUAUAUAUUAGAUACGUAUUACGCAUUAAUUUACGUUAACUGAGGAUAAAACAAAAAAUUGUGUAAACUGUUUGUAUAAAAGAAAUAAGAACAAAACAAAAAAAGAAGAAAACGAA